CAGUAGCCGCGGGAAUACGAAGGGGGCUAGCGUUGUUCGGAAUUACUGGGCGUAAAGCGCACGUAGGCGGAUACUUAAGUCAGGGGUGAAAUCCCGGGGCUCAACCCCGGAACUGCCUUUGAUACUGGGUAUCUCGAGUCCGGAAGAGGUGAGUGGAAUUCCGAGUGUAGAGGUGAAAUUCGUAGAUAUCGGGAGGAACACCAGUGGCGAAGGCGGCGACCUGGGCCAACAUUGACGCUGAGGUGCGAAAGCGUGGGGAGCAAACAGGAUUAGAUACCCCAGUAGUCCCUGUCUCUUAUAC
rnacentral:rRNA from 1 species